rnacentral:rRNA from 1 species
GAUGAACGCUGGCGGCGUGCCUAAUACAUGCAAGUCGAGCGAACGGACGAGAAGCUUGCUUCUCUGAUGUUAGCGGCGGACGGGUGAGUAACACGUGGAUAACCUACCUAUAAGACUGGGAUAACUUCGGGAAACCGUAGCUAAUACCGGAUAAUAUUUUGAACCGCAUGGUUCAAAAGUGAAAGACGGUCUUGCUGUCACUUAUAGAUGGAUCCGCGCUGCAUUAGCUAGUUGGUAAGGUAACGGCUUACCAAGGCAACGAUGCAUAGCCGACCUGAGAGGGUGAUCGGCCACACUGGAACUGAGACACGGUCCAGACUCCUACGGGAGGCAGCAGUAGGGAAUCUUCCGCAAAGGGCGAAAGCCUGACGGAGCAACGCCGCGUGAGUGAUGAAGGUCUUCGGAUCGUAAAACUCUGUUAUUAGGGAAGAACAUAUGUGUAAGUAACUGUGCACAUCUUGACGGUACCUAAUCAGAAGGCCACGGCUAACUACGUG